UGAGCAAUCUGCCCUUCUCAUCGGAAUAAGCGUUGGAAACGACGUCUAAUGCCGAAUACGACCUCCUUUCGCAUGAUCGGAGGUGGAAAGCUCCGGCGGAGAAGGAUGAGCUCGCGGCCUAUCAGCUAGUUGGUGUGGGUAAUGGCCCACCAAGGCGACGACGGGUAGCCGGCCGAGAGGGUGACCGGCCACACUGGGACUGGGACACGGCCCAGACCUCCGUACGGGGAGGCAGNAGGUAGGGG
rnacentral:rRNA from 1 species